rnacentral:rRNA from 1 species
GGGGGGGGGGGGGGGGGGGGGGGGGGGGGGCGGGGCGGGGGGGGGGGGCCGGCUUGGGGGGGGGGCGCGGGGGGCGAACGGGGGGGUGGCACGGGGGUGCCCUGCCCUGGAGUUUGGGCUGACUUCCGGCCACUGGGUCUCAUACCGGAUCGCAUCUCCUGCUGCAUGGUGUGGGUGGGACAGGUUCGGCGGUUGGGGAUGGACUCGCGGCUUAUCAGCUUGUUGGUGUGGUAGUGGCUUACCAAGGCUUUGACGGGUAGACGGCCUGAGAGGGUGACCGGCCACAUUGGGACUGAGAUACGGCCCAGACUCCUACGGGAGGCAGCAGUGGGGAAUAUUGCACAAUGGGCGGAAGCCUGAUGCAGCAACGCCGCGUGCGGGAUGACGGCCUUCGGGUUGUAAACCGCUUUCGCCUGUGACGAAGCGUGAGUGACGGUAAUGGGUAAAGAAGCACCGGCUAACUACGUG